rnacentral:lncRNA from 1 species
UGGCUUUUGCAUCAUGGGUCAAUUAAAAGAAGCAAUUGCUUUGUUAAAAAAAAUGACAUUGGAAAACAUCAACCAGGAUGUGUAUACUUUUAAUAUAUUGCUUGAUGCUUUUUGUAAGGAAGGGAAGUUGAUAGAAGCUAAAAAUGUGUUUGCCGUGAUGUUGAAAAAAGACAUAAAACCAGAUAUUGUUACUUACAACUGUUUAAUGGAUGGAUAUUUCCUAAUUAAUGAAGUGAACAGCAUUACUCAAUCGCUAUUUCCCUUUCUAAACAAAUGGAACUAAGGGGAAUCAACCCUGACUUUGUAACUUGCAAUCUCUUAAUCAAUUGUUUAUGCCAAUUGGGUCAUAUCACUUUUGCUUUCUCUGUUUUCUCAAAGAUUCUCAAAAGGGGUUAUCAUCCUGGUACAAUAACUUUUACCACACUCAUCAAGGGUUUUUGUCUUAAAGGUGAGGUUCAUAAAGCAUUGCACUUUCAUGACAAGGUGGUAGCACAAGGAUUUCGGUUGAAUCAAGUUAGUUACGGGACUUUGAUCAAUGGGUUAUGUAAAGUUGGAAAAACAAGAGCAGCUCUAGAGUUGCUGAGACGAGUUGAUGGGAAAUUGGUUCAACCUAAUGUGGUAAUGUACAGCACGAUUAUUGAUAGUAUGUGCAAAGAUAAACUUGUUUCUGAUGCAUGUGAUUUAUAUUCUGAAAUGGUUGUCAAGAGAAUUUCUCCUAAUGUUGUCACUUACAGUGCACUAAUUAGUGGCUUUUGCAUCAUGGGUCAAUUGAAAGAAGCAAUUGAUUUGUUGUAUAAAAUGACAUUGGAAAACAUCAACCCAAAUGUGUAUACUUUUAAUAUAUUGGUUGAUGCUUUUUGUAAGGAAGGGAAGUUGAAAGAAGCUAAAAAUGUGUUUCUUGUGAUGAUAAAAAAUGACAUAAAGCCGAAUAUUGUUACUUACAACAUUUUAAUAGAUGGAUAUUGCCUCGUUAAUGAAGUGAACAGGGCUAAGAGUAUACUCAACAUUAUGGUCCAAAGGGGAGUGGCUCCU